rnacentral:rRNA from 1 species
UACGGAGGGUGCAAGCGUUUAUCCGGAUUCACUGGGUUUAAAGGGAGCGUAGGUGGGUUGGUAAGUCAGUGGUGAAAUCCCCGAGCUUAACUUGGGAACUGCCAUUGAUACUAUCAGUCUUGAAUACUGUGGAGGUUAGCGGAAUAUGUCAUGUAGCGGUGAAAUGCUUAGAUAUGACAUAGAACACCGAUAGCGAAGGCAGCUUGCUACACAAUAAUUGACGCUGAGGCACGAAAGCGUGGGGAUCAAACAGG